GAUAAGUUUGAUUCUUGCUUAUAAAUUUUUAUUAGUGUGUUUGAAGAAUAUAUGCGAGUGUUAGCAAAAAAAUAAUAAAAUUAUUUAAUAUUAUUUUAUUUUUCGUUGGGAGUAAAAAGUUAUGAACAAUUUAGUGCAGUAUUAAAAAUUCUUUUAUUAAAGAAAAUUAGAAAGAGUAAAACAAAAAAGAUCCGGCUAAAAUUUGUGCCAGCAGCCGCGGUUACACUUAAGGGUCAAGUAAAAAUAAAUAAGUUGUCUAGUUAAAUUGCGAUGAGUUGAUGGUGUAUACCCACUUUACCAAAAGGUGAAAUUUAUUGGGUAAUGUCUGACGUGGGGGUGCAUCGAGAAUGCAUUUUAGUUGAGGCUAGGGAGGUUUGGGUAUGGACUAGGAUUAGACACCCUAUUACACCAAAAGUAAAUAAAAAGGACUAGAGUAGUAAAAAUUAAUUUGUUCAAAAUUCAAAGAAUUUGGCGGUAUUUUAGUCUAGUUAGAGGAACCUGUUUUAUAAACGAUAAUCCACGUAGAAUCUUUCUUGUUCUUGUUAAAAGUUAGUAUACCUUCAUUAUUAGACAAUUUGUUGAUAAAAAUUGUUGAAAUCAAAUAAAUUUAAGUAUAUUAGAUCACGGUGCUGCUUAUGAAUAAGUAAAAAUGGGUUACAAUGGGAAUUUACCCACGACGAAUAAAAAAGAGAAUUUCUUUUUUUGAAGGCGGAUUUAAUUGUAAUUUUAAGUUUAAUAAGCUUAAAUGAUAUUAGCUCUAAAAUGUGUACAUAUUGCCCGUCGCUUUCAUCAAGUCAGGUGAGAUAAGUCGUAACAUAGUAGGUGUACUGGAAGGUGCCCCUAGAAAUAA
rnacentral:ncRNA from 1 species